GUGUAUCUCGGUUUAGUUAUAAAAUGGGGUAAAAUCUUCGAUAUUACCCCAGGCUUAACUCGAGCGUCUGUCUGGUUGCAAGGGAUUUACUAAAAGCUUCCGCAUCUCCACCUGGCAGGGCGAGUCCAUCAUGGCUUCCAGCAUCUCUAGGAAGAGUUUGUGCAUGGGCACGCCACCUCGGGUCUUGAUGCUAUAGAAGGUGGUGAGGGCGCGACCAGCCGUCUGGCGGAGAAGGGGGAGGGUGAGGAGGAGACGCCCCGCCCGCUGGGGGUCCUCGGGGUGUCGCUGGCACUCCAUCUCCAACAGGGUCUGGUGGAGGAGGUCCCUCAGCUUCUGCACCGCCUCCAUGUCCUCUAUGUACACAGAGUCUGGCAGGGGAGAGAGGGAGCAUGGUCAGCAUGUAUUUCUAAAAGCUUCCUUUUGUCUUUUGGACAGAGGGUUUUGCAAGAUUGUGUUUGGCAGUAAACAUUGGUGAUUAAGUAAUAGGACGCACUGGUCCAUAACAUGACAAAUAUUACAACAAAUAGUGCCUUUGUGCGCUAAGCAGACAGUGGGGGUGAAUUUGCUGUUUACAGCAAUCGUCUGUCAGUCCCUCAGGGCUGGAGUUAUGCACUUCAACAAUCUCCUCAGAGAAUGGGACUGAGACAAAUCUUUACUAAUCUGUCUGCGCUGAUUUUGGUUGGGUGUAUUUUCUUUGAAAUAAACUGUUUGGACCAAACUGCUAAAUGAAA